UGGUUUUGUGAGAUGUUCAUUGG
rnacentral:miRNA from 2 species